rnacentral:RNase_P_RNA from 1 species
UGAGGGGAAUGGACGGCCGCUGGGUGUAUAUACACCGAGAGGAAAGUCCGAGCUCCACUCGGAAGGAUGCCCGUUAACGGCGGGGCGGGGUGACCCGACGGAAAGUGCCACAGAAACAAACCGCUGCAAAGCAGUAAGGGUGAAAAGGUGAGGUA